rnacentral:rRNA from 1 species
GUAGGUGGCAAGCGUUGUCCGGAAUUAUUGGGCGUAAAGCGCGCGCAGGCGGUUCUUUAAGUCUGAUGUGAAAGCCCACGGCUCAACCGUGGAGGGUCAUUGGAAACUGGAGAACUUGAGUACAGAAGAGGAAAGCGGAAUUCCACGUGUAGCGGUGAAAUGCGUAGAGAUGUGGAGGACACCAGUGGCGAAGGCGGCUUUCUGGUCUGUAACUGACGCUGAGGCGCGAAAGCGUGGGGAGCAAACAGGAUUAGAUACCCUGGUAGUCCACGCCGUAAACGAUGAGUGCUAAGUGUUAGGGGGUUUCCGCCCCCCUUAGUGCUGCAGCUAACGCAUUAAGCACUCCGCCUGGGAGUACGGCCGCAAGGCUG